UGCGCUGCUUCCAUAUUGGAAGCCAGUGCAGGUAUCCGGGGGUGCACAGCGAAGGGGCUCAAUUUCUGGAAAUUCGUGUCUCUGUUGGGAUACUGAUUUCCAGGAGUUUCUUCAGUGUGCAUUCUUUUUUCCCACACCGUUAUUUCAAACAACAAAUCUGAGGAACAUUUGAGAGAGAGUA
rnacentral:misc_RNA from 1 species